rnacentral:rRNA from 1 species
UACGAAGGGGGCUAGCGUUGCUCGGAAUCACUGGGCGUAAAGGGCGCGUAGGCGGAUCUUUAAGUCGGGGGUGAAAGCCCAGGGCUCAACCCUGGAAUUGCCUUCGAUACUGAAGAUCUCGAGACCGGAAGAGGUUAGUGGAACUGCGAGUGUAGAGGUGAAAUUCGUAGAUAUUCGCAAGAACACCAGUGGCGAAGGCGGCUAACUGGCCCGGUUCUGACGCUGAGGCGCGAAAGCGUGGGGAGCAAACAGG